AUGAGGAAGAUGAAAAAUGAGUUUAUGGUGAAUUGGGAUGGCCUACGUACCAAAGAUACGGAAAGAGUUCUAGUGCUUGCAGCAACAAAUAGGCCCUUUGACCUUGAUGAGGCUGUCAUUAGAAGGCUCCCACGAAGAUUGAUGGUAAAUCUACCUGAUGCUCCAAAUAGAGCAAAGAUAAUGAGAGUUAUUUUGGCACAGGAAGAUUUGUCCCCUGAUGUUGAUUUUGAUGCAAUUGCAAGUAUGACGGAUGGAUAUUCUGGAAGUGACCUCAAGAACCUAUGUGUAACUGCAGCACAUCGCCCAAUAAAAGAGAUACUAGAAAAGGAAAAGAAGGAACGAUCUGCAGCUCUAGCAGAAGGUAAACCUGCUCCAGCUUUAAGGGGCAGUGCUGAUAUACGGCCUCUUAACAUGGACGAUUUCAAAUAUGCUCAUGAACGGGUAUGUGCAAGUGUUUCAUCCGAGUCUGUUAACAUGACUGAAUUGUUACAAUGGAAUGAACUUUAUGGUGAAGGCGGCUCUAGAAGAAAGAAGGCGCUUAGCUAUUUUAUGUAAAUUUUCCUUUGUACAAAGCUUCUUAUUUUCUGUUGAUUCUCUUCUGUUCUCCUAAAGCCUGUGCCCAACUAAUUGCUGCUCUCACCCUGGCUUGCUGGGGAGCCAUUUUGUCUGUAAGAUGAGGUGUAGGUUUUCUAAAUUAUAUUUUCUUAUCCCAGAGUUUGGGGAUGGUUGGUAUAAAUGGCACAAAAGCUAUUGUUAUGUUCUUUUUCCCUUUCCUGCUGCCAUGAAACACAUUAUCUCCUUUUGAAUUUGAAGUUAUUAACAUCUGCAAUAGAAAAGAGAAGAGAAAAACCGAACACCCUGUGAAUAUAUUAUUGUUUUUCACAGUUACUCUUUAUGGUGUUUUGUGAUGAUGAAACAAUAAGCUUAGCAGUAGGACUUUCUUCUGUGAAUGUGACAAGCCUGUUACUGUAGUUUGCCCUGAAGAGGGAAGAAUUGAAAAAUGUAAUAUGAUUAACUAAUGCCUUUGGUGAUGUUGUUCUUCUAU
rnacentral:misc_RNA from 1 species